GAUGAACGCUGGCGGCGUGCCUAAUACAUGCAAGUCGAGCGAACGGACGAGAAGCUGCUUCUCUGAUGUUAGCGGCGGACGGGUGAGUAACACGUGGAUAACCUACCUAUAAGACUGGGAUAACUUCGGGAAACCGGAGCUAAUACCGGAUAAUAUUUUGAACCGCAUGGUUCAAAAGUGAAAGACGGUCUUGCUGUCACUUAUAGAUGGAUCCGCGCUGCAUUAGCUAGUUGGUAAGGUAACGGCUUACCAAGGCAACGAUGCAUAGCCGACCUGAGAGGGUGAUCGGCCACACUGGAACUGAGACACGGUCCAGACUCCUACGGGAGGCAGCAGUAGGGAAUCUUCCGCAAUGGGCGAAAGCCUGACGGAGCAACGCCGCGUGAGUGAUGAAGGUCUUCGGAUCGUAAAACUCUGUUAUUAGGGAAGAACAUAUGUGUAAGUAACUGUGCACAUCUUGACGGUACCUAAUCAGAAAGCCACGGCUAACUACGUG
rnacentral:rRNA from 1 species